CACCGCGGUUAUACGAGCGGCCCAAAUUGAAAGCCUUCGGCACAAAGCGUGGUUAAUAAAACCCAAACUAAAGUUAAACCCCCUCAAAGCUGUCAUACGCUCACGAAGAAGGGAAGCCCAACAACGAAAGUGACUUUAAACUUUAUGACCCCACGAAAGCUAAGAAA
rnacentral:rRNA from 1 species